rnacentral:lncRNA from 1 species
UAAAAUUUGCUAUUCCUUCUACUUUAUUCGAGUCUUCACAACAAAUUCACAUGUAAUUUUUUCACAAUCAUAGAAGUUUUGAGGGAGAAAAAAUUACUUUAUGAAAAAAAAGGCCCUUGCUUAACACGAUAAAUUGGCUUUAAUAGACAUGAUCAUAGGCAACCAAACAAAAUCCCACAAAACCAUGUCCGCCCGUCACCGGCUAAACUACUUUACAUCAAUAUCACAACUUCGCAAGUGACAAGUUCGCAGUCCACGGGCUUAAACUCAAAGCAAAGGGGGAAAAAUCAAGAAGAAAAGGUAGCGAGCUAGCGACGACUCCCGCAAGCUACUGCUGGUCGUCGUCGAGAUCCUCGGCUUCCUGAUCUUCUGUGAUCGUCUCUAAUUCCGUAUGUGUGAAACUUCUGCUGCGAGCCGGGACAAGAAGAGCCGGCGCCGCCUCCAUCCAUGGACUCAUCGAUCCUUCGAUUCCCUUCGCCAUAUGUUGCGAUCGCGAUUCCCGGCUCCGCUUCGAGAGCCCAAGCUUUGCUCGACUCGACCGAGUGAGCUCCGGUUGAAAUCGCUAGAAGAAGAAGAGGAGGAGAAUUCCACAACUGCUCUGGGAGAGAUGGGGACUCUGUGAGAGAGACCGAAAUUGUUGGGUGUUGGAGAAAAUCGGGGGGAGAGCGGCGGUUUUUAAUACGGGGGGCGAGGACAACUUUUUGACUGCUCGAAGGAAAACGUGGGGUUUGUUGCUACUUGGGGAAGCUUCGUCCUCCCUUCACUUUCACAUGUUUGUAAGGCCAAAGGCACGUGGGGGAACAAGAGACGUGUGAACGCGGUCGGGCCCCAUUAAUUAAAAGCAAAAUCUCAUCAAAUUAAUUAAUUUUUUUCCCCGUGCAUGACGUUAUACCAAACUCUUUCCGGAAAACCAAUGCCCUAGAUUUGUACUAGUGACUUGAUUAUACUUUUUGUUAAUACUACUUUUUUCAGUUAAUAUUACAAACAAUUAUAAAAUGGUAUACUUAUUAUAUAUGUAGAAUAAAACUUCAAAACGGUAUACUCGUCAACCGUGACGUGUCAUGCAAUUUAACAAUUUGAUUAAUAGAUAGUGAAUUCGGCAUAAAUGUAAUAGAUUUGGAAGUUUUAGAGUGUCAAAAAAAUAGUUUAGAAUAAAUUUGUUAAAUGUGUAUUGAUUUGAGAUUUCUUAUGAUGUUAACUUUAGAUUUUUAAAUCUUCGAUGCAGCAGAGUGCAUGAACAACAAUGAAUCGAAUUUUCUACUGUCAUUACAGAUGAAAGUUCAAUAAAAUGUAUUUUUGGAUCAUUGGUACAAAUUAGGAUAUUAAUAAGACAAAAAAAAUUGAGGUAUUGGUGUCCACUGGAACAAGUUUGCGAAUUUUGGUGAAUUUUUUCUUAAUGCAAUUGAUUGGAAAAUGAUGUGGACCGUGAGGCCGCGCACUCACAAAAAUUCCUUCUUGUGCACUCAAGCCUCGAGCAACCCAACUAUUGCAUGUACUGGAUGCAUCGCCGAAACCUAGACAUCGGUAACAUCGAUUAUGGUAGGAUUCCUCUGUUUUACACGUAGGGCAACCACACUCAAUAAGGCAUAAUAAUACGGGGUGCAUGCAUUUGCUCUGUACAAUAACUUUUCCUAAACAAUAAUCGAACUAUCAGAUCGCAUGAGUUAGUACGUAGCGGCCAAUUUGAUUCGAGGACGCAUGCAUACACACCAAAGGACAUGCUAAACUUUGGAGGGAAUUUGGUUGGGAAUAUUUUUUAUUUUGUCCAUCCAUGGAAUACUUUCACUACCUAAAUUUCUGAUUAGUCAAUGAUGAAUAAAGACAUCACCCGAUUUUAAUUCUAGUUAAGCUUUGAUCUUCAUGUAUUGAAAGGUUCGAAAAACUUAUACAUGUUGAUUUCACAGACCAAUUUAAACAUAAUUAUUUUGCGAUUUUUAACUUUUAUUUAUUAUAUUUUUAAUUUGAGGGGACUGGAAAAGAAAAAUUACUUUAUUAGAACAAGAGGCCCUUCCUUAACACGAAAAGUCGGUUUUCAUUGAUAUGAUCGUAGACAACCAAAAAAAAUUCCACAAAUCCAUGCACAGCUUCCCAGUUCACGCGCUUAUGCACAGAGCAAAGGGAAAAAAAAGAAAAAAAAGAACAGGGAGUGGACCAGCCACAACUUCCCACCAAAAAAUAAGAGGAAAAAGAAGAAGAAAAUCUGCUAUUCAUCACCGAGAUCCUCAACUUCCUGAUCCUCUCUAAUCGUCUUCAAUUGAGGAUGUCUGCAACUUCUGUCACGAGCCGGCACGACCUCCAUCCACAGUCUCAAUCCUCCGAUUCCCUUGACUAUGUUGGUACUGCGAUUCCCGAUUUAGAUUCGAUAGAUUUGAUUUGGUGUGGUAAUGGCUUGAAGAAAACAUGGCAUUCGUCACGAUUUAUUUGACACAUUCGUUCGCAUUCAAAAUUUUAUGAACAGCUUGUACGUGUCACCAGUCAUGGACUAGUGGUGGUAGUGUCUAACGGCCAGGCUAGGCUGUGCUUAGACUCCAAUGUGGACGAGCAACCAUAGAAUCUUUGGAUGGCUUUGGAGAUCGAGAUAAGCGAGGCCAAAUCUAAAUGAGUGAUGAUGGAGCUGACCACGAGCCACGAGUCACGACGAAUGGGGUAGCAGGUUACCAUCCAUGUACGAACGAGAGUCACGUCUGUGGACGAGCGACCUCGCUAGUCUUGGACCAGCAAGUGUAGUUAGUGUACUAGCUCUCCAUAUUUGGCUGUUGAUGUCACUCCUCACUAACCGUGCUAGCUUUUUAGAUUUGGCCAUCCAUCGCCGUCGGUGUUAGGGGUGUGCAUGGUCCGGGCGGGCGGUUCCCGACCUAGAACCGGGAACCGCCUGCUAAGGACCGAUUCUGAAAAAUCGAAACCGGGAUCCAUCCGGGAACCGGACCGCUGGUCCGGUCCGGUUCCCGGGUGGAUCCAUGGAACCGAUUUUGACGCCAAAAAUUCUGGUUAUCAACAGCGAAACAAUUUUGGUUUCCCGGACCGCCGGUCCGGAAGUUUUGAGCUCUAAAAUUCCAAGUUUCAAUCUCCAAAAACUAAAACAAUAAUUAAUAGACGAAUAAUAGACGAAUUUCUUUUGCAUUAGUCCUCCCUCUCAAGCUCAUUAUCCACCAUGAAGCGUGCCUCUGCCUAACUUCCUCUCGAUGUUGCUGUGAAACUCCAACCAAGCGGUGUUUUCGUUGAAGCAAAGCUCCUUUCCACGCCAGAGAGCCGUUGGAGGGAGAAGCAAAUCAAUAGGGUACUACAAUUGCAAGUCUUUCAUUACUAUACAAGGCCGUAGACAAUUAAAUCACCUGCACAAAUGCGAAGGGGCGGACAGCAGUGGCAGAGGAGCAACAACGGCGGCGUUGAGGCUUAGGGAGGAAUCAAAGACGAAGGGACUGAGCGUCGGCGAGGGGGGCGGACAGCAGAGGCGGAGGAGCAGCGGUUGUGGCAACCGGCGCGAGGGGGCGGACAGUGGCCGAGGAGGAGCAGCGGCGGCGGCGUGGAUGCUUGGUGAGGAAUCGAAGAUGAGGAGAAGAGAUUGAGGAAGAAACAGAGAGAUAAUCAAAGACUGAGGAAGAAAUCGGAAGAGAAUCAAGAGAUGAGACGCAAAUUAGGACUUCGUACCUUGUUGAGUGACGGAAAAGGGGCUCGUCGGCUCGGUCGAGAGUUCUUGCAGAGGCGGAGGAGCAGCGGUUGUGGCGAGUGAUGACCGGCAUGAGGGGGCGGACAGUGGCGGAGGAGGAGCAGCGGCGGCGGCGUGGAUACUUGGGGUGGAACCGUGGAAUCGAAGACGAAGAGAAGGAAAGGAACAGAGAGAAUCGAAGGCUGAAGAAGAAGAAACACGAAUUAAGGCUUCGCGAAUUAGGGGCAGGGGGCUUCGCGACUUUUUUUUUUUUUUUUAAUUAUAAAUAGUACUGGUCCGGUUUGGGUGGGUGGGCGAGCGGGCGGAUCCGCCCACGGAAUCGGGAACCAGACCGGUUCCCACUGGUUCUCAACAAUUGGACCUGGGAACCGGACCAGUUCCCUUGAGAACCGCCGGUUCCGAGCGGUUCGGGUCCGGUUUCGGGCGAUUCCCCGGUCCAAUGCACACCCCUAGUCGGUGUCUCUUGCGAGCCUUACUCGUCCAUGGGCAGUGAUGCUACCGGCUCUCUAGAUCUGGCCAAUCAUGGAAUUUAAGAGUGGAUGUGAGGGGAAAAAAAAAGGGUGCUACCUUAGCCGUUGAUAUGGCACUUUAGAACCACUAACGAGAGUGUAGGCAAAAUGAGUGGAAUUGUACUUUUAGCCUUUUUGAAAUUUUCAUCAUUGCUUUUAAGAAAAAAAUUAUAAGACAAAAUGCUACUAGCCAAAUUUAAAAGGGUUGCAUUCCAAUAUUCAUUCUACUCAUUUUCGCUUUCAAUAGAAGGCGAGGGGAAAAAAGGAUAAUUAUCAGUAAAUAACCCUCUUAUUUUCCCAACCGCUUGUGUUUCUUUUUCUUAUUUUGAUCAAUUAAUAAUCCCUCUGCUCGUGUUGUCCAUUCCUUACGGAGUAUUAGCAAGACCGUCAUGACUUCGAUUUUUCCUAUAUGCAGCUUAGUAAUAUCAAGGAUAUAAAAUUUGCUAUUCCUGCUACUUUAUUCGAGCGUUCACAACAAAUUCACCUGUAAUUUUUUCACGAUUGUAGAAAUUUUUGGGGGAAAAAAUUACUUCAUGAAAAAAAAGGGCCUUGCUUAACACGAUAAAUUGGCUUUGAUAGACAUGAUCGUAGGCAACCAAACAAAAUUCCACAAAUCCAUGUCCGCCCGUCACUGGCUAAACUACUUUACAUCAAUGUCACGACUUCGCAAGUGACAAGUUCGCAGUCCACGGGCUUAAACUCAAAGCAAAGGGGAAAAAAAUCAAGAAGAAAAGGUAGCGAGCUAGCGACGACUCCCGAAAGAUACUGCUAGUCGUCGUCAAGAUCCUCGGCUUCCUGAUCUUCUGCGAUCGUCUCCAAUGCCGCAUAUUUGAAACUUCUGCCGCGAGCCGCGACGAGAAGAGCCGGUGCCGCCUCCAUCCACGGGCUCAUCGAUCCUCCGAUUCCCUUCGCCAUAUGUCGCGAUCGCGAUUCCCGACUCCGAUUCGAGAGCUCAAGCUCAAGCUUUGGUCGAAGAGUAAGCUCGACUGGGUGGGUUAGCUCCGGUUGAAAUCGCUGGAAGAAGAAGAAGAGAAUUCCACAACUGCUCGGAGAGAGAUGGAGACUUAGAGAGAGAGAGAGAGAAUGUUGGAUGGUUCGACAAAAUCGGGGGGCGAGAGGCGGUUUUUAUCAUGGAGAGCAAGGA